rnacentral:rRNA from 1 species
UACGGAGGGUGCAAGCGUUAUUCGGAAUUACUGGGCGUAAAGCGUGCGCAGGCGGUUUGUUAAGUCCGUUGUGAAAGCCCCGAGCUCAACUUGGGAAUUGCAGUGGAUACUGGCAGGCUGGAGUACGGUAGAGGAAGGUGGAAUUCCCGGUGUAGCGGUGAAAUGCGUAGAGAUCGGGAGGAACACCAGUGGCGAAGGCGGCCUUCUGGACCAGUACUGACGCUCAUGCACGAAAGCGUGGGGAGCAAACAGG